rnacentral:rRNA from 1 species
GAUCAUGGCUCAGGAUGAACGCUAGCUACAGGCUUAACACAUGCAAGUCGAGGGGAAACGGCAUUGAGUGCUUGCACUGAAUGGACGUCGACCGGCGCACGGGUGAGUAACGCGUAUCCAACCUUCCCAUAACUAAGGGAUAACCUGCCGAAAGGCAGACUAAUACCUUAUGUAAUCCUUUGAUGGCAUCAGAUAAGGAUAAAAGAUUUAUCGGUUAUGGAUGGGGAUGCGU